ACCCAUGGGCACCAGGUUGUUGACCCUCAUGUAUUUUUGUGGUGGUUUGGGGUUUUUUGUUUUACAAGGAAGAUUUAUGUGUAAUUCUGGUCUAUGUGCAAUGUAUUUGGGGGGUAGAGACUGAGUGGUGUGGGCACUGGGUCAGUUUUGUCUACUUAGGAUUGGAUAGUGCUCCCUUGUAAGUGUGCACCUUGUGUGUGCUCCUAGGCUAGUGUUGUGAAUAUGCAAUUCCCAAGUAUUUUGGGUACAGCCAAGUGUUAACAAUGGUUCAGUUGCUCUAGUUCCAAACACCUUAAAUUAAAACCUGUUAGGUGCAUCCCAGUCUUCUUUUUACCUAUACGCUAAGGGCGCAAUCCUAUUAUGCCCUUACCUGGGAUUUGUUACGGCACAAAUAUGCCUAGGAUCAGCCUGCCCAUGCCUAUAAUUCAAACGAUCAGACCCUUUAUUUAAACAUGAUUAUUCCGUGGGCGUUUGCUAAAAUCCUAGGCGUGUUGUUCCAUGAUUGCUACAGUCCGUAGGGAAGAGCUGCACCUUAAAACUACACUUUUGGAAGUCUCCCAGAUGCGCAAGCGGACUCCGUUUGGGAAUUUUUUUGCAAAUGCUCUCUGCAUAUGGUCAAAGACGGUCUUGACGGCAUGUUUCAGCGCUUGGAAUUUAAUUCCACCGAAGAGUUGGGUGUGCUUGUAGCUAUUAACUGCUCCUCCGCCGGACUGCCCGGCUAACAGUGCAGUCUAUGCCCCGGUUAAGUCUUCGUGAACUUAGUGGGUCUUAUUUCCAGAUGUUAGGAAGGAUGGCUGAGGCUCCUACAUUCACGUCCAAAAUGGCGGCGGAGCAGCCGACUACACUCUGAGAGAAAUGUGUCCCCUCUCCCGCGCUCAAACUACAACUCCCACCAUGCAAUGCGAAGACCGCCGUUUGUGACGCGCCCCUGCCGCCCGCCGCGUGACGUAUAAAUAGCAACCGACCGCCUACCUCUGCCUUUCCUUUGCUGCCGUCACCGCCAUCUUGUGCCGGAGCUGCUCUGUGGUGGCUGGCGAGGUCUAUCCGUCGCCAUCCGGCCACAGCCUUGCUGCCUGUUCUCAGGGACUGAGCCCGGGGGACCCACCCCGACAUGAGAGCUAAGUGGCGAAAGAAGCGAAUGCGCAGGCUGAAGCGCAAAAGGAGAAAGAUGAGACAGAGGUCCAAGUAGAUGUCUCACAGUGCUACUGAAGCUGCAGAACCAGAGCAUGGAAGGGGCAGAGCUUGAAAAGCUGAUUUCCAGAUAACACCUUCUAUUUGCUGUUGCUAGAAGACUCCUUGCCUAUCUUCAGGAGAUUCCAACUUAAAGCUUAAGAGCGGUGAUCUUUCAAGGGGUGUGUGGGCCCCUGAGCUUUACUCUUCUGGACUGAUCUUGUUCUUUGUGGCUUGAUGUAGUGACUUGUAUACAAUAAAAUUCCUUUUUGGGGGAAUUCAGCACAUUUUUUCCCCGUACCAAA